rnacentral:rRNA from 1 species
GACAGAGGUGCCGAGCGUUAGGCGGAAUCACUGGGCUUAAAGCGUGUGUAGGCGGGUCGUUAAGUGCCUUGUGAAAUCCCACAGCUCACCUGUGGAACUGCUUGGCAUACUGGCGAUCUUGAGCCACUUAGGGGCAACCGGAACAAACGGUGGAGCGGUGAAAUGCGUAGAUAUCGUUUGGAACGCCAAUGGUGAAAACAAGUAGCUGGGGAUGUGCCGACGCUGAGACACGAAAGCCAGGGGAGCGAACGGG